rnacentral:misc_RNA from 1 species
UCACUUUGCAUGCUGUUAAAAAUAUGAUCUCCAAAAUUAUGUACCUGUACAUUUUAAUGCUAAUUAUGUCUCCACUUUCAAAGGGGAGACAUAUUGUUUUUGUCGUUUAGAUUAUUUUUCCUUCCUUGGAUCUGUAAGAUAUAUUGAUGGAGUAUUAUUUUUACAAACAUGUUGUAAGAGAGAUCUGAUUUAGUUUGUAGCAAUAUGAUUUUAUGAUGGCAUUCACUACCUAAUAAUGUUAACAAAUGUCCACAUAGUUGCGUCAUUUUUUUUACACAUAUUUAAUUGACAUAUCUUUGAAAUAUUUGUCCGAUAAACAUGCAAUAAUGAUCGAAGUUUGAAAUGCAAUGUGUGCUUGGAACUGUGCUAUCAUUGUAAGAAAAUAUUUAUGGAACCGCUUUGUUGCUUUUUUUUUUUCUUUUUAUGAUAAUCAAAACCAUUGUGCAGGAUUACACUAUAGCCCGUCAGUAAUUACGUGUAAUGUAUUGCCCGACAUUAAAAGUAGAAGAUUGUUUAUUGACUAUUACCAUUUCAUUCUUUGGAGAUAAGUAGAUUGUUGUUAUGUUUUUCAAAUGUUAGUCAUUAGAUAGAAUUUUAUGAUUCUUUGCUUUUGUUUUGUCAGGGUAUAACAAACUUGUCUCAUUUUCUUGGUUUGAAUGUGUUCAGGUGCUAUGACGACUUUUCUUGUUAAGACUUCGGUUUGAUACAUAUAGCUUCUGUCGACAUUCCACAAAGUCCAACUUUCAGAACACUGUGGAUGCAGCACCGACGGCUUUAUAUUGUUAUCAUUAAUCAAUGAAUAACACCAGCUUCUUAUAUUUUCAAUAAAUUGUUUUUGU